rnacentral:misc_RNA from 1 species
GUGAAUCAUCGAAUUUUUGAACGCAAAUUGCACUCUCUUGGAAGCGGGUGAGUGUUUGAGUGUGAGACUAUAUAAAAUCGACAACGUUGUUGUUUCGCGGUGGUGUUCGUGGGGUAGUGGGUUAGGUUAAGUCCUUUUUGGUUUUAAGCGUCUUAAAAUUUUCUUUUUGGUUCUAUGAACGUUUCUAAGAGUUAUUUCUUUACAAGUUUAAGGUAUCGAUU